CCUACGGGAGGCAGCAGUGAGGAAUAAUGGUCAAUGGCCGCAGGGCUGAACCAGCCAAGUCGCGUGAGGGAUGACGGUCCUAUGGAUUGUAAACCUCUUUUGUCAGGGAGCAAAGGGCGCCACGUGUGGCGCUUUGCGAGUACCUGAAGAAAAAGCAUCGGCUAACUCCGUGCCAGCAGCCGCGGUAAUACGGAGGAUGCGAGCGUUAUCCGGAUUUAUUGGGUUUAAAGGGUGCGCAGGCGGAAUGUCAAGUCAGCGGUAAAAUUUCGGGGCUCAACCCCGUCGUGCCGUUGAAACUGGCGUUCUUGAGUGAGCGAGAAGUAUGCGGAAUGCGUGGUGUAGCGGUGAAAUGCAUAGAUAUCACGCAGAACUCCGAUUGCGAAGGCAGCAUACCGGCGCUCAACUGACGCUCAUGCACGAAAGCGUGGGUAUCGAACAGGAUUAGAUACCCCGGUAGUC
rnacentral:rRNA from 1 species